GCCCUUAUAGCUCAGUGGUAGAGCGCAGCACUCGUAUUCUUAUAUUACAAGUUCAUGCUGAGGUCCAUCGUUCAAUCCGGUGUGAGGGCA